rnacentral:rRNA from 1 species
UGGCGAACGGGUGAGUAACACGUGGGCAACCUGCCCUCAGCUCUGGGAUAACUCCAAGAAAUUGGGGCUAAUACCGGAUAUGACUGCUGACCGCAUGGUCUGGUGGUGGAAAGAUUUAUCGGCUGGGGAUGGGCCCGCGGCCUAUCAGCUUGUUGGUGGGGUAGUGGCCUACCAAGGCGACGACGGGUAGCCGGCCUGAGAGGGUGACCGGCCACACUGGGACUGAGACACGGCCCAGACUCCUACGGGAGGCAGCAGUGGGGAAUAUUGCGCAAUGGGCGAAAGCCUGACGCAGCGACGCCGCGUGGGGGAUGACGGCCUUCGGGUUGUAAACCUCUUUCAGCAGGGACGAAGCGAAAGUGACGGUACCUGCAGAAGAAGCACCGGCCAACUACGUGCCAGCAGCCGCGGUAAUACGUAGGGUGCAAGCGUUGUCCGGAAUUAUUGGGCGUAAAGAGCUCGUAGGCGGUUCGUCGCGUCGGCUGUGAAAUCCCGAGGCUCAACCUCGGGCCUGCAGUCGAUACGGGCGGACUUGAGUUCGGCAGGGGAGACUGGAAUUCCUGGUGUAGCGGUGAAAUGCGCAGAUAUCAGGAGGAACACCGGUGGCGAAGGCGGGUCUCUGGGCCGAAACUGACGCUGAGGAGCGAAAGCGUGGGG